rnacentral:lncRNA from 10 species
GUGAGGAGAAAGGAGUAGGAAGGCACAGAGGACCUAACUGGCAAAAACAAAUAAGUGAGGUAGAUAAAAAGAAUGAAUCUAAUGGCUUCACCUGACUUAGGCACAGUUUUAAGGGGCCUGACUUAGGCCUGGGGACUUAUGUUUUUAGCUGGGCUCUGUUGGCCUUUUUGAUGUGGGAGUGAUUAAGCAGGAAUGCCGUCUACUUUCAGAGCAGUUGGAGUCAUGAAGUCUUUUCUAAGCAGGAGUGAGUCUUUCUUUUUGGAACUUUUAAACAAACACUAGGUCUCCUGGCUGGAACGAAUGGUAGGACUUUGUCAGGUCAGGAAUUGGAUUGGGAUGGGCUCCUCAAACAAGUGGCAGGAUGAUCUCUUGUACCUGUUGGAGAGACUAUAGGUACUGUAAUAAAUUAAUUUGUGAUAUUUCUGCUAAUUUGGCAUCUCUUAGCUUAGACAAGAUAGGCAGCGCCUUCUUAUACAUGAUUUCAAAGGGUGAGAACUUAGCCUGAUAAGGGGUGCACUUUACUUUAAGUAGGGCUAAAGGAAGGAGACUUACUUAAUUUACACUGGUUUUUAAGAUCAAUAUUGUAAGAGUGUUUUUAAUGUGUGGUUCAUGCGUUCUACUUGCCUGGAGCUCUGAGGUUGAUAGGCACAAUGGAGUUUCUAUUGAAUGUUUAACGCCUUACUGACUGACUGAGCUAUAGGUGAGGUGAAGGCUGCUCUAUUAUCAGACUUUAUGGCAGCAGGCAGCCUAUAUUGAGGGAUGAUUUCAUUGAGUAAAAACUUAACUACUGUGUUGGUGGUUUCGUUUUCGGUAGCAAAUGCCUUAGUCGAUCUGGAGAAGGUGUCUACUAGUACUAGAAGACAGACAAGGGGAGGGGGUCCUGUGAUGGUAUCAGUCAGAUGCCUGUCUGGCCACUCCCGCUGAGGGGACUUGGGCUCCUCUUAGCAUUGGCAGGCCGGUAUAAACUUCCACCUCGGAUCGAGCUGUGCCUGAUGCUGCCUUAAGCCUUAUGAGGUCGCCACGGAACCGCAGCAUCCUAGAAACUCCUGGAGGGCAGAGUCAUGCCUGCCAUCUUCAUCAUUGCAUUACCAGCACCCAGCACAGUGCCUGGCACAAAAGAAUUGCUCAAUAAAUGAAUCAGGAUGAAUGGACAAAUACACGGAUAGGCAGUUUGAACUACAGAUGAGCUUAAAUACUUUGUGCUUUUCUUAGUCAAACAUGUGCAAUUAAGCAUAAUGAUAUGACCACACCUGUGUGUCAUAUACCACACCUGUGUCUUGCCUGAUGUUCUUUGCAGUCACUAAAUGAAGUCAAUUGUGCCUGUUUUCACAGUUCUGUUUUCAACCUAAUGAUCUGUUUCUUUUAACUUCUGACUGUUGGCUUUGUUUGGGUUUCUUAGCCUGACAAAGUGACAGAUAUUGGUAUGUGCUCUUUUGUUUACAUGUCACGAACUUUAAAAAUGCCUUUGCUUUUGGUAAGAAACCCUAGUUAAGACAGUCUAGUGGUCAGGAUGAUUUGGGUUCUGGUGCAGUAACAACAAUCCCCAAAUCUCAGUGGCACCAUGCAGUGACGUAUUUGUUUGUUUGUUUUUGAGAAAGGGUCUCACUCUGUCACCCAGGCUAGAGUGCAGUGGCACAAUCUCAGCUCACUGCCACCUCUGCCUCCCAGACUCAAGCGAUUCUCCUGCUUCCUGAGUAGCUGGGAUUACAGGCCCAUGUCACUACUGUCUGCCUAAUUUUUGUACUUUAGUAGAGACAGGAUUUCACCAUGUUAGCCAGGCUGGUCUUGAACUCCUGACCUCAAAUGAUCCACCUGCCUUGGCCUCCCAAAGUGCUGGGAUGACAGGCAUGAGCCACCAUGCCUGGCCACAGUGAGGCUUGUUCUUGGUCACGUUGAAUGUCUGGGCUGUGUUAGGGCAUUGUGGGGUGGUCUGUUCAUUGUGUUCACUCAGGGAUCCAGGCUGACAAAAGCCCCAUCUCUGCAUGUGUCCUUGAUCACCACUUCAGGGGAAAGGGAAUGUGGUGGAUCACAGAGCCUCUAAACACUUCCACCUGGAGGUGACUCAAGUUGCCCCUGCUCAUGGUUCAUUGGAAAAAACGGAUCACAGAGUCAUGGACAACUUCUCUGUGCCUGGAAAGGGAACCAAAAUAUGAAUAGCUACAUUGAUUUUCCCUAGCUAUUACACAGAAGGCCUCAUUUAAGCGCAGUUACUUAUUUGUGUUUUGAAGCUAACUGUAGUCCAUCAACCUUCAGAGAAGAUAUGUGCACUUCCAAGCUAUUAUUAUUAUUUUUUUUUUUGAGAUAGAGUCUCACUCUGUUGCUCAGGCUGGAGUGCAGUGGCAUGAUCAUGGAUCACUGCAACUUCUGCCUCCUGGGUUCAAGUGAUUUUCGUGCCCCAGUCUCCCAAAGUACUGGGAUUACAGACACCCACCACCGCGACUGGCUAAGUUUUGUAGUUUUAGUAGAGAUGGGGUUUCACCAUGUUGGCCUGGCUGAUCUGGAACUCCUGACCUCAGGUGAUCCACCUGCCUUGGCCUCCCAAAGUGCUGAGAUGACAGGCGUGAGCUGCCGCACCCAGCCUUGAGUAUGAUUUUUGAUUCGGAAGGCCAGAGUUAGGGUUUUAGUCUGAGGACAGUAUGAUGUGAAGGUGAAAAGCAGAGCUUGGCUGUGAGUUUGCUGGGAUUCCUGUACUGCUUCUACAGCUCUUUGGCUGUGUGACCGUCACCUUUGGCAAGUUCCUUUACCUUUCUAUGUGUUGGUUUCCUCAUCAAUAAAAUGGAAAAAAUAAUCAUAAUCAUAAUAUCUAUUGGUGUUGGGAUAGCCCAGUUGUUGACACAUAAGGACUCAAAAAUAGAUUUAAUUUUUGAGAUGGAGUCUUGCUCUGUUGCUAGGCUGGAGUGCAGUGGUGAAAUCUCGGCUCACUGCAACCUCUGCCUCCUGGGUUCAAGCGAUUCUCCUGCCUCAGCCUCCUUAGUAGCUGGGAUUACAGACACCCACCACCACUCCCAGCUAAUUUUUGUAUUUGUAGUAGAGAUCGGGUUUCGCCAUGUUGGCCAGGAUGCUCUCGAUCUCUUGACCUCAUGAUCUGCCCACCUCAGCCUCCCAAAGUGUUGGGAUUACAGGCGUGAGCCACCGUGCCCGGCUCAAAAAUACUGUUAUUAAUUUUGGGGGGUAGUUACUCUAUUUUGUGAAAAUCAGAGUUCAGUACCUUGUAACACUGGGUUGGGAUCUAUCCUUGAAGGAACAGGCUUCUAAAGAGAAAGGCAUGGAGAGAGGGGCAAAAUUUUAGUGGAUAUUGUAAUGACUUUAGGUAUAUGGACCUGGGGCUGAGUUCUAGCUGGGGCCACCAGGUAGCAAGGUGGAUUUUGCUAAAUUCUAUCACUUUCCUGGGCCUCAGACUCACUUGUUACAAAUGGGGUUAAAGCAUCCCUCUUUCAGGGCUAAGAUAAAGAUGAUUAAGUAAGAGGGAAUGAAAGCAACUUCCAUCAAUGGUCAAAAGUAUUCGUUUAACUACUUCUAUUUAUUUAUUUAUUUUUUUUUUGAGAUAGAUGGAGUCUCUCUCUGUUGCCCAGGUUGGAGUGCAGUGCCAUGGUCCCAGGUCACUGCAACCUCCACCUCCUGGGUUCAAGUGAUUCUCCUGCUUCAGUCUCCUGAGUAGCUGGGACUACAGGUGCGUGCCACCACGCCUGGCUAAUUUUUGUAUUUUUAGUAGAGACAGGGUUUCAUCAUGUUGGCCAGGAUGGUGUUGAUCUCUUGACCUCGUGAUCCACCCUCCUUAGCCUCCCAAAGUGUUGGGAUUACAGGCAUGAGCCACCACGCCCGGCCCACUUAACUUGUAUAUUACUUUCCUGUUGGUGGAUUUACCAGUGCAAACUGAGCAGCUUAAAACAUCACCCAGUUAUUAUCUUUUUUCCUGGACAGGGUUUAACUGGGUCUUCUAUUCAGGGUCACAAUACUGCAACCAGAGUGUCAGCUGGAGCUGGGGUCUCCUCAGAUGCUCAGGGUCCUCUUCUAAGCUUAUUCAGUUUGUGGAUUGAAUUCAAUUUCUUGCAACUGUUGAACGAAGGCCCUUAGCUCCUAGAGCUGCCACCUCCAAAGACAGCUCACAACAUGGCCAUUUGUGUCUCCUUGGAGGCUAAGGGUUGAAUCUGUGAAAGUUCACCUUUAAAAGGCUCACCUGAUUAGGUCUGGCCCACCUAAGGUCAUCCUGCUUUGGAUGAACUCAAAGUCAGCUGAGCAAAUGUGCUUAACAAAGCAAGUGUGACCAUAAUCACAUUUGCAAAAUUCCUUCCCCUUGUCCAAAUCACAAGCUCUGCACACACUCAAGAAGAAGAGGUGAUACAGGGAGCAGAUAUAAGAGAGUGGGUCUCUUGGGGGCUGUCCUAGAAUUCUGCCCAUAACAACUUCCUUUCUCACAACUUCCUUUCUCGAGGAACAG